GGGGACGACAGGCUUCGACGUGGUCGGAUCGUGGGGGUGGUUGCGAGCCGAGGUUCCCGGAGGCCUCGUAAAUCACCGGGAAAACCAUAUGUGCGGACUCUCACGAGUACGCCCUCGCCGCCUAGCACACCGCUAGCGCUGUGAGGUUCGGAGCCCGGCCUGCCGGCCGUCGGGAUUUCCGGAUCAAACGCCGGCUUACCUGGGGAGGAUCGUCCUCGCCAAACUGGGGAAAUCUUUAGAGGACUGGCUUCACGCAACCCCGCCGGCGAGGCGAGCGCGAAGUGAGAUUAGAGCGCCGGAUACGCUCGUAGACAUCACCUCUUACGCGACCGCGGACGUGGGUUCGAUUCCCACCGUCUCCAUCU
rnacentral:tmRNA from 1 species